rnacentral:rRNA from 1 species
CCUACGGGAGGCUGCAGUGGGGAAUAUUGCACAAUGGGCGAAAGCCUGAUGCAGCAACGCCGCGUGAGCGAUGAAGGCCUUCGGGUCGUAAAGCUCUGUCCUCAAGGAAGAGAAGGACGGUACUUGAGGAGGAAGCCCCGGCUAACGACGUGCCAGCAGCCGCGGUAAUACGAAGGGGGCUAGCGUUCUCCGGAAUUACUGGGCGGAAAGGGGGCGGAGUUGGUUUCUGAAGUCCGAGGUGAAAGGCUACGGCUCCACCGUAGGAAGCCUUUGAAACGGGGGAACUUGAGUGCAGGAGAGGCGAGUGGCCUUCCUCGUGUAGCGGUGCACUGCUUCGAUAUUCGGUGGCACCCCCGUUGCGACGGCGGCUCUCUGGACUGUACCUGACCCUGCGGCCCGUAAGCGUGGGGAGCAAACAGGCUUAGCUACCCUAGUAGUC